UACAGAGGUCUCAAGCGUUGUUCGGAUUCAUUGGGCGUAAAGGGUGCGUAGGCGGCGGGGUAAGUCAGGUGUGAAAUCUCGGGGCUCAACUCCGAAACUGCAUUUGAUACUGCCUUGCUAGAGUACUGGAGAGGAGAUUGGAAUUUACGGUGUAGCAGUGAAAUGCGUAGAUAUCGUAAGGAAGACCAGUGGCGAAGGCGGGUCUCUGGACAGUUCCUGACGCUGAGGCACGAAGGUCAGGGGAGCAAACGGG
rnacentral:rRNA from 1 species